rnacentral:rRNA from 1 species
GAUGAACGCUGGCGGCGUGCCUAAUACAUGCAAGUCGAGCGAACGGACGAGAAGCUUGCUUCUCUGAUGUUAGCGGCGGACGGGUGAGUAACACGUGGAUAACCUACCUAUAAGACUGGGAUAACUUCGGGAAACCGUAGCUAAUACCGGAUAAUAUUUUGAACCGCAUGGUUCAAAAGUGAAAGACGGUCUUGCUGUCACUUAUAGAUGGAUCCGCGCUGCAUUAGCUAGUUGGUAAGGUAACGGCUUACCAAGGCAACGAUGCAUAGCCGACCUGAGAGGGUGAUCGGCCACACUGGAACUGAGACACGGUCCAGACUCCUAUGGGAGGCAGCAGUAGGGAAUCUUCCGCAAUGGGCGAAGGCCUGACGGAGCAACGCCGCGUGAGUGAUGAAGGUCUUCGGAUCGUAAAACUCUGUUAUUAGGGAAGAACAUAUGUGUAAGUAACUGUGCACAUCUUGACGGUACCUAAUCAGAAAGCCACGGCUAACUACGUG